GAUGAACGCUGGCGGCGUGCUUAACACAUGCAAGUCGAACGGAAAGGCCCAAGCUUGCUUGGGUGCUCGAGUGGCGAACGGGUGAGUAACACGUGGGUGAUCUGCCCUGCACUUUGGGAUAAGCCUGGGAAACUGGGUCUAAUACCGGAUAGGACCAUCGUUUAGUGUCGGUGGUGGAAAGUUUUUCGGUGUGGGAUGAGCUAGCGGCCUAUCAGCUUGUUGGUGGGGUAAUGGCCUACCAAGGCGUCGAUGGGUAGCCGGCCUGGGAGGGUGGACGGCCACAUUUGGACUGAGAUACGGCCCAGACUCCUACGGGGGGCAGCAGUGGGGGAUAUUGCACAAUGGGCGCGAGCCUGAUGCAGCGACGCCGCGGGGGGGAUGACGGCCUUCGGGUUGGAAACUCCUUUCGCCAAGGACGAAGCGUUUUGUGACGGUACUUGGAGAAGAAGCACCGGCUAACUACGUG
rnacentral:rRNA from 1 species